rnacentral:rRNA from 1 species
UACGUAGGGUGCGAGCGUUAAUCGGAAUUACUGGGCGUAAAGCGUGCGCAGGCGGUUCGUUGUGUCCGAUGUGAAAGCCCCGGGCUUAACCUGGGAAUGGCAUUGGAAACUGGCGAGCUUGAGUGCGGCAGAGGGGGGUGGAAUUCCGCGUGUAGCAGUGAAAUGCGUAGAGAUGCGGAGGAACACCGAUGGCGAAGGCAGCCCCCUGGGUCGACACUGACGCUCAUGCACGAAAGCGUGGGGAGCAAACAGG